CCUCAAGCUCCAGCACCCAAGAUUUUAUUAGCAAGAGGUGCUUUUUAAAGGUCUAGAUGUGUACCCUCCAUCAGGAGAAAUAGGAACAAAAACCUGGAUUGGAGUCAGAGGUUGUUUUCAAGGUCCAUUCAAAAAGUCACUUCUAUUCAUGCUCAAAAUCCCAGCCAUGUACAUCCUACACAUGGUAAGUACUCAGAUGAUCCUCCUGGGUAAUGACAGGUGCCCAGGAACAUGCAGGACCUUUAAUCAGAGGCCUGUUCCUGGACUGCAAUAAGUUACUGCCCUGUUAGGACAGAACGCGCUAUGUCAUUAUUCACCCCCAUCCAGGUUAGAUUGCAUUAUGAUGACCUGUAAGUUGCAUUAGACCACUGGUCUGACCAUCUGCAAAUGUUUCUUACAGCGUGAUCCUAACCUUCUCUCAAGAAGUAGGAUCGACAUUCUGUCCUCUUGUGAGCUGAGCUGUGCUCCAAGCCCCAAAUCCAUACGUUGAAAUUCUAACCCUGAAGAUCUCAGAAUGGGACUGUAUUUGAAGUCGGGUCUUUAAAUGAAGGUUAAGCAACCUUAAACUGGUAUAACCGGUGUCCUUAUAAGAGGAGAUUAGGACCCAGAUAUGCAUGGAGGGAUGACAGGGAGAAGACAGUUGUCUACAAACCAAGAAGAGAGGUCUCAGAAAGAACCAACCCUGUUCACUCGUAAUCUCCAGAACUGUGAGAACAUUAGUUCUUUUUGUUUAAGUCACCUGUUAUAUGGCACUUAGCAGCCCUGGAAAACUACUAUGCCUCCCCUUAAGCCUGAGCAGAACUUUGUCACCAAUUACCUAAACCAACAGAAUGCAAUUUCCAAAGAUAGCUGGGAAAAAAUAUCAUAGUUUCCCCUGGUUUGCCAUCUCUCCUGGAUACUUGCAGCCAGAAGUUGGCUGCCAUGCUGAGGAAGCCCCAGCUAGCCAACAGGGAGAGAUGGCAUGUACAAGAACCGAGCCAUCAGCCACCAGCCAGGUCCAAUCACCAGACACAUGCAUGAGUGAGGCCACAGGAGAUCCCAGCCCCUUCCCCAGUGUCAUUUAGUUGAGGUCCCUUCUGAAUUCCAAACUCACCAAAUCCAUGAACAUAAAUAAACAGUUGUUGCAUGAUGCUAUGUCUUUAGGUGAUUAGUUAUGCAAUGCAUGGUAACUGGAGCAGUCCUGAAUAGGAAAGAGUACAAUUUUCAACUUGCUAAUG
rnacentral:lncRNA from 1 species